rnacentral:misc_RNA from 1 species
GUGGUUGCAACUUUUGAAGCUGAUGACUUCUCAGACCCAUAUGAUUCUCGCACAACACUCCUUUUCUUCCGGGGGAAGACAAAGAGAAAAGCUGAAGGGAAAGACCGUAAGCGGCUGGAAAAAAUAUUAAGUGGUCAAAAGGAUGUUGUUUUUGAAGCAAAUGGAGUCACCGAGGGAGGUGUAAAUGCAUCUACCAAGGGGAUGCGUUCGUCAAAGUUUUGUCUAGAUCCAGCAGGGGAUACCCCAUCAUCUUGCCGCCUUUUUGAUGCUAUAGUUAGUCAUUGUGUCCCUAUAAUUGUGAGUGACAAAAUUGAGC